CCCACAUCAUUACUUCCCCUUUCACCAACUCUAUGUCCUCCUAAUCACUCAAUUUCACGCCCCUCCCAUGUCAGGAACCCUAGAGGUGAAAUUGACAAAUUAGGUGAAAUAGAGUUGCAAUUGGAGGCCUGGAUAGCAUCAGGAGAACAAUUAGAGGCGUGGGUCGAAGUCAUAAGCAAUCAUCAGUGAUUAGCUUUGCUGUGUAGCUGCAUUGCUGUCACUCACUGUUGGUGAGUUCCUGGUGCAAUUCCUGUGUUGUUGCUGCCUGGUGCUGUUGCCCUUGGUUGUUGGGCUGUAGCUGGUUCUAUCCCUGGUGCUAUCUUGCUGCUAAUGCUACUAGGCCUUGCCUAACAAAGCUGCUGGGCUAGAAGAAGUAAGCUGCUGGGCUUUCUGGGCUUGUUGCUGUGAGCUUUUGGAGUUGAAAUAAAAACCAAGCCCAACUGGGCUGUGAAGCUGUUGGAUUGUUGCCAACUGGGCUGCUGCUUGUGGAACAGAAAAUUGAACCAAGCCCAACUGGGCUUAUGCAACCAACUAAAGGGGUAAAAAGCCCAACUGGGCUUCCCUCCAACAAGGUAAACCUAAACCCAUGAGCCAAGCCCAACCGCGCCUCUCUUCUUUACUGUCUAUGGGCUUGUAUCUUUUGCACUGUGGGCUUGUAUUUUAACUUACUUUUGGGCUUGUAAUUUAAACUUUUUUGUGGGCUUGUAACUUUAAUCUGAACUUUGUGCUUGUAUUGAACUAAAUUGGACUAUGGACUAUGGGCUUGUGAUUUAAAGUGUAAUGGGUUUGUAAA